UGGUCCCAUAUUCAGAUAUCAAUAAUUAACAUAAAGUUUAUCAGGUUUUUAUAUACUCAAUUUGGUCUUCUAAAUAUCCCUUUCUACGCCCACCCCCGUCCCACUCCAAAUUCAGGUAAGUCUUUUCAAACAAGUUGAGUUGAGAAAUUAGCAUUCAUAUUUUCUCCUUUCUUUUCUGUCUCCAAAUGGUUAUCACAAUUGGGCACAGAUCAACAUGGUUCUUAGCAGGAAAAGUGACUAGGAAUUAAAAUAACUCGUUCCCCAGGGGUUAUCAGCUGGAUAUCAGUCCUCAUCAGUUUGUACAGAGAGAGUCUCAUCUGGCGGGAGCUGUGUGAAGUCUGUCUCGCUCCCUGGAGCUAACAAACAUCAUUCCUUCCGAUGGACGUGACCCAAAGACUGGGGACAGAGAAUUUAACUGGGGGAAAGUCAACGAAUGAUGAAAGCUAACUCUGCCCAGGUGUCCUUCCCACCCUAUCCAUCCACUUCCCCAAACUCAAUCCCCUACCCCAGGUUGUACUUGUGCCCAGAGCCUGUUUUUCUCCUGUCUUUGACAACCCUGAUCUUCUCUGGGUUUGAUUUAUUGAGUGCUGUCGUUUCUCUGCUCUUUACUUUCACAAUCACACAUUCAAACUCGAUAAAGUUCAAGACCCUGAAUGCUUCCAGCUCUCCCAGAUUUACAGUCAUGCUGCCUCCCAGAGCAACUCUGAAGCUGAUUGAAUCCUCAUGCACGCAAGAAGUUGGCAAGAAUCAUCAAAAAAGCCAGAAGAGAUGGUGCAUAGGAUGGUAACAGUCAUAUUCUUGGGAGGGGGGG